GCUCCGGUUCUGUGGAGGGUUGCCCUUCAAUUAGAUCCGAUCGUGCAUCACGAUAAUGGAACGGGAAGAGGAGUGCUGGUGAUUCUUUCCCAACAAAUAUGAUACACAUGUAAUCUAAUCGUCGUGUUAGAGCUCAUCUACGGAUCUACAUGUCAAGAUUUCGACAUUCAAAAGCAAAGGUGUACUUUUUCCGAUUCUCAAUUUACAUGUUUAUGUGACUAUUUGUUUUCUUAGUAUAUUCAAUACUUUAUGUUUUUGAAAGUUUUG
rnacentral:lncRNA from 1 species